ACUGAGUGUCUGACACAUGUACAGAGCCCACAAGCUGCCAUGAGCUAUUUCUACAUGUAACUAGGUGACUACGCCUUGCAGCUUCCCCUACGUUAUAGGCUUUUUAACUUCAUUAUGUGAUCAGGCAUGUUGCCAACUUUGAAGGCCAUUCCACACAUCUGAGUGAUCUGGCUUGCCGUCCAGGUGAUUUAAGUGCCAAUCUUGAUAAAGGUCCGCAUAAGGACCGAAACGUCGAUGAAAUACGGCAUCAACAGUGAACCCGAAUAAAAAUAUACUGAAUUUACAAGUGACUUCAGAGACUAAUUUCUGGGCGUGAGUGCACCUUCCACCUAGGUGGUUGUUGUGGUAUAUUGGUGGCCUCUCUGGUCAUUAGGAGCACCCGCCGUCGUUAUUACUUUUGAUGAGAGUGCAGGAUCUUCCAAGACUACAUUUGUUCGAACUACUAUAUGCAGUUCCUACUUCCUGACACCCAUCCAACAUACCGGAUUGGACUUCCUCACCGAUCACCACCUUUAUUUCCGGGAACCUUACAUGUUUUGUUUGUCAUGUUUAGUAUGUUAUUAAUCUAAUUGCUAUACCUGUUUGAGUUUUCCAGUCUAAAGAGUGUUAUGACUCAGAGCGGGGUAUAUUUGUUGGAUGAUGGCCUACUGGCCAAAGCUGAAACUGGUAUAGUUUCAUUUACGGAUGAGGACACUGAAAAAUUACUAUUCGAUAAAUUAGAGUUUGAGGCCUUACCAGCCGAAACCCCUGUGGAUUUGUUUUACAAAGUGCUUAAACACAGACAAAAAGAGGUUGAUUUGACUUUACAUGGUCAAUUUUUGUCGGAAUACCUCAGGAGAAAACAAAUCCCCCGGGGUUUCCGUAUUUCUAACGUUCCAACAUUGGGUAGAAACAACCCUGUCUUCUGCAGCCGGUGGUGUGGAGUAUUGAACAAAUGUUCGCUUGACCUCAUGACCCUGGUAGUGGAGGAAGUUGGCAUUGAGUUAAAGAAAUUAUCUACUGAAGUGGAUAUUACCAUCAAAUCUCACACCACCGUGCUGCAGAAUGACAAAACCCAAAAUUGGAUCGAACGUCUACAGACACAGGUGGACACUUAUAAACGUGAUCUAAUUUCUUUUAAACGAAAAAAAUUGUCCACUGUAACUAACGACUACCAAACGCAUACUGUAUACCGCUGGUUACUUGGAAACAAUACUAGUGAACGUCAGAAUAGACAAUACACUAGGCGAAGGGCCCAACCUUUUGCCCAUGAAUUUGUUUCCUCCGCCUCUACCUCAGACACCGAUUAUUACGAAGGGAACAACGACUCCACUCGUUUUUUAGAUCGAGGAGGAGAGGCCUCCUCUACCCGUUCCAGGGUUCUCAGAAGCGGCACAGACCGCACCCGAGGAGAGGGGGGUACCAAGAGAAGAGGGAGGAGGAGACAGUAGGUGACAAUGUCUUUAAUCUAUCUAGCGUAGAACUGAGUCCAGCGGAAACUAAACUUCUUGCCCGAGGUUUAUCUUUCGUCCCCACAUGCAGAAUUAAUUCAUUCCAACAAACUAUAGAUCAGUAUAAAUUUGGCCGCUCCCUCCGUCUGCGGGAGUUCUUUGCUAACAAAUCCACUAACAAAGAGAUACCUCAAUUCAGACCCAAAUCGACAUUCGAUCCUCCAUCCUCCAAUCCCAGCAUCAAAACUUAUUUACGGUUAGUCCAAAGAGACUCUGAGAGCUCACCCCCCAAAAGGAUGUUUGAUAACCUGUCCAUAGCCGAGAGGAAAGCAUUAAAAACUUUAAAGGAUUCUCCCCAUAUAGUCAUCCGCCCGGCGGAUAAGGGAGGAGCAAUAGUCGUCCAAGAUUGGACUGACUAUGACAUGGAGAUCAACCGACAAUUAGCAGAUGAC